rnacentral:rRNA from 1 species
UACGUAGGGGGCGAGCGUUGUCCGGAAUUAUUGGGCGUAAAGAGCUUGUAGGCGGUUUGUCGCGUCUGCUGUGAAAUUUCGGGGCUCAACCCCGAACUUGCAGUGGGUACGGGCAGGCUAGAGUGUGGUAGGGGAGACUGGAAUUCCUGGUGUAGCGGUGAAAUGCGCAGAUAUCAGGAGGAACACCGAUGGCGAAGGCAGGUCUCUGGGCCACUACUGACGCUGAGGCGCGAAAGCGUGGGGAGCAAACAGG